GUAAGGGACCGGAGAGUAGGAAAAGCAGGGCCCAGGGCCAGAGACUGGGGAUAGAGCUAAGGAGGAUGGUGUCCUCCUGACUGCAUCUCUCUUUCCUCUCCCACCCCUUGCAG
rnacentral:miRNA from 1 species